GCUGCUUGGAAGAGGCGUUUGUUGUUCUUUUCGAAGAAUAGCUCAGAAAUCUUUCCUAAGGAAGCUGUCUAUUGUUGAAUCAGUCUUUUCAGCUCCAUGAAAGCUCCUAUUCUGCUCUUUUGGUUUUGUAGUGUAGCUUUCUUGGACCAUCUGUU